rnacentral:lncRNA from 11 species
GCCUCAGGCUCUAUUGCAGAGAGAAAAAAGCCUUGGGGAGGCUACCAGGGAGGGAAGAAGUUUUACAACUGAAAAUGAGGAGGAAAUGGUUUUAGCAGCCUAGGAGAAGGGAUUUCCCCUCCUUUAAAUAAACUGCUGCAUCCUUGUGCCUGGCCCCAGCUCCGGCAAGAAGCCAGAGCAGAGUGCAAUCAAAGUGGGCCCUCACCUGGGACUCCUUGAGCGGAUUCAGGGCUGGUGCCAUUGUGUGUCAGUUGUAAGCGUCUUUGAGAAUCCUGCAGAGAAACCAGGUCAGGAGCCAGGAAGACAGUUCAAACGCAGAAGCCAAGGCAAGAGGGGAAACCAAAGUCAGAGUCAAGCAAAGCCAAGGUCACCGCCAAGGAGUCUGUCAAGCAGAGCAGAAAGCUGGGAGCAGCAUCAAGCUAGCAAAAGUCAGAAAGUUUUGAGCCAAGGAAAAUGCCAAAUGACUUAA